AAAGUUUUUAUAAUUUGACUCAAAAAAUAGAAACAUGACAAACAAACCGGACGGAUGAAAUAGUUGAUUAUACCCCUGCCAUUAAAACGAAAUUAUUUUAUACCUUUGCCGUUAUCAAUUUCAUCAUUUAUACUCUUCAAUUGACAAAAAUCUGUAAAUCAGUAAAAUUGACCCGAUUUCAUAAAAUUAUCCAUUCCCCAAAACCCAUGCCCGACCCAUGUAAGAACCUAACCCAAAAACAUUUAACCCAUUUUCCUUACCUUCAACACCAUUUUUACCAACUUAUUUUUUUCUUCCUUCUAAAUAUUUUUUCUUCAAAUUCCAGAGUCAGCUAGCUCAAAAAAUGAAACAUCAUCAUUGUUACCUCACAAUCGGAGAGUUUGGAGAAGUAAAUUAGAGGGGAGGAUGGGGUCGCAGAUACUUCUGCAAAUGCAUAGGGUAUUUGGGGAAGACAAUACAGAGGCGACGACGGAAACGACCAUGGUUGACUUCUCUUUUUCUCUUUCCUCCGAGCCCUCAUACUCGUCUAAAAGUGCUCAGAUCUGAUCGAUUUUUAUGUUUAAGGUGAUGUUCGACAAUAUUGUUGACGCCGCGCCACAUCUUCCUCUCUUCCCUGCUAAUGUUAAAUCCAAUCAACGAAAUCAUUGCUCCCGCAAUCCUUUGUUUUUUCUGAUCAAAUUUAAUAACUUGUUGUUUUCGCUUUAUUUUCUCCCUCAUGAAUUCUUUUUGAGAAUGGAUAUAGAAAAUGUGUUAAAUUAUUUUGGGUUAAGAUAGAUGGAUGGGUCGGGCAUGAAUUUAAAAUAAGAAAUGGGCAAUUUUAAGAAAUUGGGUCAAUUUUGCUGAUUUAGGCAUUUGUAUAAAUGGUGAAAUUGAUAAUGGCGAGAUAUAAAUAACUUCGUUUUAACGAUAGAGAUAUAAUCAACUUAAAAAGAUAAAGUUGAGGAGUAUUUUUAAUUUUUUUCCAUAGAUAAAAAUAUUGUCCUUUCUUAUUUUUGUCAAGAUGAAUAAGUAAGCCAGCAGUAAGGUCCGGAGCAAGAGCAUUAGGGUAGGCGAUGGCCGCUGCAUGAUGGAAUUUAGCAAGUUGUUGGAAACCGGCACCACCCCCAUCCACGUUAAUUAGAAAAAAAA